rnacentral:rRNA from 1 species
GAAAGUAAGUAAGGGCAGACGGUGGAUGCCUAGGCUCUCGGAGGCGAUGAAGGACGUGAUAAGCUGCGAAAAGUCCGGUUUAGGUGCAAAUAACCUUUGAUACCGGAAUAUCCGAAUGGGGCAACCCGUCAGGUUGAAGGCCUGACACCUCGUAAUGAGGGGCGAACGUGGGGAACUGAAACAUCUAAGUACCCAUAGGAGAAGAAAACAAGAGUGAUUCCGCAAGUAGUGGCGAGCGAACGCGGAACAGCCCAAACCUAUUCUGUUUAGGCAUAAUAGGGGUUGUAGGACCACGUUGUGGUACAAUUUAAUUGAAGUAGAAUGAACUGGAACGUUCAGCGAUAUUGGGUGACAGCCCCGUAUACGAAUCGAUUGAUUGGCCUAGUGGUAUCCUGAGUAGCGCGGGACACGAGAAAUCCUGUGUGAAUUAGCGGGGCCCAUCCCGUAAGGCUAAAUACUCCCGAGAGACCGAUAGUGAACCAGUACCGUGAGGGAAAGGUGAAAAGCACCUCGAAUAGAGGAGUGAAAUAGUUCCUGAAACCGUCUGCUUACAAGCGGUCGGAGCACUUUCAUAGUGUGACGGCGUGCCUUUUGCAUAAUGAACCUACGAGUUACUUUAUCCGGCAAGGUUAAGGCAUUCAGUGCCGGAGCCGAAGCGAAAGCGAGUCUUAACAGGGCGUUUUAGUCGGAUGGAGUAGACGCGAAACCAAGUGAUCUACCCUUGUUCAGGUUGAAGGUUAGGUAAAACUAAUUGGAGGACCGAAUCGUUAAGCGUUGAAAAGCUUUCGAAUGAAGUGAGGGUAGGGGUGAAAGGCUAAUCAAACUUGGAGAUAGCUCGUACUCCCCGAAAUGCAUUUAGGUGCAGCCUUUAUUAUUACUAGUAUGAGGUAGAGCGACUGAUUGGAUGCGAGGGCUUCGCCGCCUAUCAAGUCCAGAUAAACUCCGAAUGCGUACUAGUUUAAAAUAAGGAGUGAGGGUGUGGGUGCUAAGGUCCACAUCCGAGAGGAGAAUAAUCCAGACCAUCAGCUAAGGUCCCGAAAUAACAGUUAAGUUGAAUAAACGAAGUCAGAUUGCAUAGACAGCUAGGAUGUUGGCUUGGAAGCAGCCAUUCAUUUAAAGAGUGCGUAACAGCUCACUAGUCGAGGAAUGUGGCGUGGAUAAUACUCGGGCAUAAACUGUUUACCGAAGCUAUGGAAUCAGCAAUGAUUGGUAGGGGAGCAUUCCAUGCUGCGUUGAAGAUAAUGGGACGACUAUUAUUGGAGCGCAUGGAAACGCAAAUGUAGGUAUAAGUAACGAUAAAGGGGGUGAGAAACCCCCUCGCCGAAAGACUAAGGAUUCCUGAUCAACGCUAAUCGGAUCAGGGUAAGUCGGGUCCUAAGGUUAAGCCGAACGGCGAUACCGAUGGCUGAAAGGGUUAAUAUUCCCUUACUAUUAUAAUGAGCGAUGUGGUGACGGAGAAGUGACAGUCCUGCCUUCUGACGGAAUAGGAGGUUGAAGGGUGUAGGCGUUGAUAGCUGUAGGCAAAUCCGCAGUUAGAGCUGAACCUGAUAGUAUGCAGCGUACUUGUACAAUGCAAUAUGGACGUAAGCCGGCUCCCAAGAAAACCCGCUAAGCAUAUUAUUAUAAUACCCGUACCGUAAACGGACACACGUAGUUGGGUUGAGUAUACUAAGGCGCUCGAGUGAUUCACGGUUAAGGAACUAGGCAAAAUAGUCCUGUAACUUCGGGAAAAAGGACGCCACUAGCAAUAGUGGCCGCAGAGAAUAGGCCCAGGCGACUGUUUAACAAAAACACAUGGCUAUGCAAAUUAGUUAAUAAGACGUAUAUAGCCUGACACCUGCCCGGUGCUGGAAGGUUAAGAGGAGAUGUCAUCGCAAGAGAAGCGUUGAAUUGAAGCCCCAGUAAACGGCGGCCGUAACUAUAACGGUCCUAAGGUAGCGAAAUUCCUUGUCGGGUAAGUUCCGACCUGCACGAAUGGUGUAACGAUCUGGGCACUGUCUCGACCGUGAGCUCGGUGAAAUUGUAGUAUCGGUGAAGAUGCCGAUUACCCGCGAUGGGACGAAAAGACCCCGUGAACCUUUACUAUAGCUUUACAUUGCAUUUGGUCAUUAAAUGUGUAGGAUAGGCCGGAGACUAUGAAGCGGGUACGCUAGUAUUUGUGGAGUCACCGUUGAAAUACGGCCCUUUUAAUGUUUGAAUUCUAACUCGCUAGAUGUGAGGACAGUGUAUGGUGGGUAGUUUGACUGGGGUGGUCGCCUCCAAAAGUGUAACGGAGGCUUCUAAAGGUGCGCUCAGGCCGAUUGGUAACCGGUCGUAGAGUGUAAUGGUAUAAGCGCGCUUGACUGAGAGACCUACAAGUCGAUCAGGUAGGAAACUAGAGCAUAGUGAUCCGGUGGUUCCGUAUGGAAGGGCCAUCGCUCAAAGGAUAAAAGGUACUCCGGGGAUAACAGGCUGAUCGCUCCCAAGAGCUCAUAUCGACGGAGCGGUUUGGCACCUCGAUGUCGGCUCGUCACAUCCUGGGGCUGGAGAAGGUCCCAAGGGUUGGGCUGUUCGCCCAUUAAAGUGGCACGCGAGCUGGGUUCAGAACGUCGUGAGACAGUUCGGUCUCUAUCUAUCGUGGGCGCAGGAUAUUUGCGAGGCUCUGACACUAGUACGAGAGGACCGUGUUGGACGAACCCCUGGUUUACCGGUUGUACCGCCAGGUGCAUUGCCGGGUAUCUACGUUCGGAUUGGAUAAGUGCUGAAAGCAUCUAAGUACGAAGCCAGCCUCAAGAUAAGAUAUCCCUUAAGGGUGGUUAUAGACUAUGACCUUGAUAGGCUACAGGUGUAAAGGCAGUAAUGUCAUAGCCGAGUAGUACUAAUAGCCCUAGACUUUCUAUC